UACAGAGGUCUCAAGCGUUGUUCGGAUUCAUUGGGCGUAAAGGGUGCGUAGGUGGCGCCGUAAGUCGGGUGUGAAAUUUCGGAGCUUAACUCCGAAACUGCAUUCGAUACUGCGGUGCUUGAGGACUGGAGAGGAGACUGGAUUUCAUGGUGUAGCAGUGAAAUGCGUAGAGAUCAUGAGGAAGACCAGUGGCGAAGGCGGGUCUCUGGACAGUUCCUGACACUGAGGCACGAAGGCCAGGGGAGCAAACGGG
rnacentral:rRNA from 1 species